UGACUGACUGCAGCAUUUGUGAUGAAUGAAAUCAGUAGCCCCUCUGCUGAUGAUCCUUUGCUGCCGGUCUGCCGGAUACUGCACACAGACAGGAACAACCAAGAUACAAUGUCAUAUGUGUGAGGGGACGGCCUUUUUACAUUCAAGUAUGUUAGAUAUUUGCCUUUUAUGUGUGAAUUAAUUGUGGAAUUUUACUUUUGAGUUGCAAUUUGUUAAAUCCAUGUCUUCUUAGGUGGGGAGGAAAGUCAUAUAUACCGUGUCAAAUUUGAGAUUUGAGGGAAGCUAACUGGCCUUCUUCGUGAUAUCUGUAUUUCCGAUUUUAUUUGCUUUGUUGGUUUGUUUCAUGAUCUGUUUUUCUGGCCGCUAAACAGAAAUUAGGAUUUAAUAGAACAGGUAAGUAAAAUAGAGGUGAUAUGUCUAGAGACUGGAAACAAAUCCUCUUCUGUUUUGUGGUCUGUCAGAUUCUUCUGGUAGUCCGAAGAUCCCCGAAUUCCUUAAAAUUGGACCAUGGUUCGCAGAAUGCAAGAUGUAAUCUUUGAACUUGUAUAUGGCUACUGUAUACAGAAUUGCAUAAUCAUAGAAAGAUUGUGCUUGGAGGAUUAAAGAUACACCCUAAAAAGGGAAGUUUAAUUGCACGUCAAUCUGUUGAUAAUAUGAAAUGGGUCUUUUUCUUGAACUAGUAUAUGGUGUUAUGUUAAACGUGUUACACAUAUAUUGCCCUUUCAUGCUACAACAACAACAUACUCAGUGAAAUCCCACUAAGUAGGGUCUACGAAGGAUAGAGUAUACACAGACCUUACCACUACCUCGUGGAAGUAGAGAGGUUGUUUCCGAAAGACCCUCGGCUCAAGUGCGUCAAAUUCAAGUAAAAGAAGAAGACAAUGAAGAAAACAUAGCAGUUAAAUAAGAAAAGCAGUGUAUAGUCGAUAAAAAAGCAAUAACAACAACAAAAUAGUGGGGGUCAUGUACCCUUUCAUGCUACAUGAGCAAAAAUACCUUGAACUGCAAUUUAUUUCAUUAGAAUCAUUGCAUGUUCUUGCUAUUAUUGUGAAAAAGACUGAGUAGCUAUAAUAGGUUACAGGAAAAAUACUAUUUUGUAUUUCUGGGAUGCGCUACUUAGGAAUAUGUUCGUGUUUCGGAGGCCAGUUUAUGCUGAAAAGACACCUUUUUAGAUUUCAUAAACCAUACCAACUUGAAGUGUUUUAUCUGGUGGAAUUUGAAGUGCAGAAAUAGCUGCCCUGCUAUUCUUCUGAAGAAACCUGUACAAGUACUCUAUAGUGAAGCGAGCAAACCAACCUUUAUUUGCUUUGAGAAUGGUUCUUCCUAACACAAAAACGGGUCCUCUUUCAGCAGCUGCAUCUAUUUUUCGUUUUUCACUAGUAGACUCGGCUUGGUCUUGGAGUUUUGUGAUCAUUAAAGUAACAAAGUCAUCUCCUUCCAUGCUUUGAGAAUCCUUAUAUCCAAACUGAAUCAAACACCGAUAAAAUCCUUCAACUCCCGUCUUCCCCACAUUGUAACGUUCCUCCACCAGGACGGUUUUGAUGGGAAGAGUUCUAACAGUGACAAUUACCAGGAUUUCUCUUACAGAAUUUGUGUGCUGAAUGUAAUGACAGAUUAUGGGUGGAAUGCCAUUUCUGAGAUCAGUGAAAAAGAAGCAAAUUCCUGGUGCUCGGUAUGUACUAUAGCUUGAUAGCAUUUGGUCUAGAUCAGGUAAACUCAUCUUUCUAUCUGCUUCAUAUUCUUUUUUCUUACUCCUUCCAUAUGUCCAAGAUAGCAUGAUAGUCAAGAAGAAAGCAGAAAUAGCAAAUGGCACCCAUCCUCCUUGUGGUAUUUUAUUGAGCAAAGAUGUCAUGAAACAACCUUCAAUUAUUAUAUAAGGCAAGAAAAAUGCCAAAAUGAGAAUGAUAUUUGUCUUCCAUAUGAUUAGCAUCACUAAUGCUGUCAAGAAUGUUGUUAUGAUCAGGGGCGGACCCACGUGGAGGUCAGGGGGUUCACCCGAACCCCCUCAUCGAAAAAUUACACUGUAUAUAUAAGGUCUAUUUCUGAUUUUAUGAGUACAUAUAUUAAAAUGAACCCCCUCAAUUUUUAAGAGAGGCAUGGCUCAGUGGUUAAGGGGUUCAACUCUAACCAAGAGGGUCUGGGUUCGAUUCCCACUUGCAACAUUUUUCCAUUUGUUUUUUUUUCUUUGAAAGGUUGAAUGGGCUCUUGCUUUGGGCUCAAAUCCAAUUCCAUUUCAUUGUUUUUAGAAGGCUGUAUGGGCUCUGGUUUCGGGCUCAAAUCCCAACUCAAUGAAAUGUCUCACUAUUUGAUUAUUAUUAAAUUUGAAAUUGAUUUACAAAAAUAUUAUAUAAAAAUAAAUUAAAUUAAAGUUAAUCGAAUGAAGAAAUUUAAAAGUCGUGUAUAAUCUUUUAAUAAAAUCUAAUUAAUUGAUUCCCGCCCCUCCCCCCCCUCUUAAAUUUAUAGUAUUUCUUUCUUAUUUUUUUUCAGUUUGAUUUUAAAAAGAUGAAAACUAAACUAAACUUAUUUGUUCUAUUCAUCAUUUGAUGAAUUAUUAUUAAAUUUGAAAUUGAUUUACAAAAAUAUUAUAUAAAAAUAAAUUAAAUUAAAGUUAAUCGAAUGAAGAAAUUUAAAAGUCGUGUAUAAUCUUUUAAUAAAAUCUAAUUAAUUGAUUCCCGCCCCUCCCCCCCCUCUUAAAUUUAUAGUAUUUCUUUCUUAUUUUUUUUCAGUUUGAUUUUAAAAAGAUGAAAACUAAACUAAACUUAUUUGNNNNNNNNNNNNNNNNNNNNNNNNNNNNNNNNNNNNNNNNNNNNNNNNNNNNNNNNNNNNNNNNNNNNNNNNNNNNNNNNNNNNNNNNNNNNNNNNNNNNUAAACUUAUUGGAUUCAGAUUACUAGUUUCCUCCUAUAUCUCGCUCAGUUUUUUAUCUUGUAAUUUUCACAUGUUUACUUCUUUAUAUUUCGAACCCCCUCCACAGAAAUCCUGGAUCCGCCACAGUUGACACCCCUUCGUUAGAAAACUAUAUUGUAUAGAUAGGUAACUUAUUUAUUUUAUAUAUAUGUGUUAUGAUAUUGAUAUCCUUUGAAUUCUUCAUGAAUUUACUUAUUUAUAUUUUGACAUUUCUUUAUGAAAAUUCUGAUUCGAACACUAAAAAUAACUAUCAAUAUUAAAUGACUGAUGACGACGAUCAUGCAUGAUAAAAGGAUGAUCAAGUGAACAACUCUAUCGACAAUUGCAUUGGGUAUCAAAUAAGGAUAAUAUACUUAAUAAUAUUGAUAUUUUUCUUUCUUUAUAGAAUAGAAUAAUGAGUUGGCACCUUUUUGAAGUUUCUUUUUAAGCACGUCGCCAAAAGUCAAAAUUCUUUUGGAUAUCCCUUUCUAUGGACGUCAUUUAGAUUUUGUCAUCUAUUAAUGAUUUUGUGCCAAUUAUUUAUAAGAUCGCAUAAGAUAUAAACGUUCUUUUUAACUUGACCUCAAUUGAUAUUUAUCUAUGUUUUUUAAUUUUGAAUGUAUAUAAGUAGACACUUGAAUUUGUACAAAAUUGAACAAAUAGACACAUUCAUCUUACGUGGCAUCCUACAAGUCAACUGUGUGUCCUACAUAUAUAUUAUGUCACGUAGGAUACAUAUAUAUAUCUAGGAAAAGUUAAUCCACAUAUACAUAUAAAAACAUAUAUUACAUCGUAUAUACGUAGAAAUUAGUAAUAUAACAAAAUAAUUACUAGUGAUGACAGAUUUGGAUUAUUUAAUAAUUAAUUUAAUUAUAUUUGAAUUAUUUAAUAAUUAUAUUUUUUUUGCUUUAGUGCAAAUAAGAAGCGUGCAAUUUUUGUAGUAGUACGUACCUAGGAUAUGAUCAUGACCCAGAUGACCACCACCCCUGUAGUUGAAAAAGAAAAGUUAGUUCCAUUUCUCAGCGAAGUACGCUUUAUUUGGACUUCCAGUUGUGGUUUAACUUAACAACAACAACAACAGAUCUAGUGUGAUCCCACACUUGUCUGGAGAGGUGGGUGGUAUGCAGACUGUACCCUACCUUUGCGAGGUAGAGAGGUUGCUUACGAUAAGACCCUCUCGGCUCAAGAAAAGCGUUUUUCAAACAUUUUUAUACUAUUAAUUUUACUCGUUUGGAAACCGACUCUCUACCUCCACGAGGUAGCGUAAGGUCUGUGUACACUCUACCCUCCCUAGACCUCACCUGUGUGAUUACACUAGGUAUGUUAUUGUUGUUGUUGAAUUAAUAAUAAUUUUACUGAUUAUAACAGGUUAUUUACCAUUGUUACAGAUUAUUAACCCAUUCUUGCUAUAAAAAGUUGCAUAUAAUUGGUUAUUUUAAGUAGCAUGAUAGUAUUAGAUUUUUAAGUUGUCGGUGUACAAAAAGAAAUCUGAGUGAUGCUUACCAUAGGCAUUUGCUAGUUCAACACCUCCUUUGAAACCAAGAACGAGAGUGACACAAAGAAUCAUGAGGAUGUAGUUUACCUCUGGGGAAUAGAUUUGUCCUUCAUGCUUGGAUGAAGUAUGUAUAAUGUUUACUCGAGGGAAGCAUCCAAGAGCAAGUGAUUGCUUUACAAUGGAAAAAGUUGCUGAUAUCAUGGACUGGCUAGCAACCACGGCAGCUAGAGUUGAGAUUACAAACAUUGGCCAGUAAACAGGUUUUGGUAGGGAACUGUAAUAAGCAUUGUUGAUAUUCUCUGGAUACCUCACUAGAUAAGCUGUUUCUCCGGCAUAGCUGAGAACUAGGGAUGGAUAAACUACAAAAGAAAAUGCCAACUGCAAGACUCAUUGUACAGAAAUGCCAUCAAUCAGAUUAACUUUUCUAAUGGUAGAUUAGAGUUCUUUGUUCCUUACCUGAAUUGCUCUUUUAUUGAAAUGACCUAAAUCAGCAAACAUGGCUUCCGCUCCUGCAUGACAGUUUAAAACAUGUCGGAAGUGAACUAAUUUUCUCCUAUUUCAUAUGCUUUUCUUUUAUCUUUUUUUUCCCCUCAAAAUUAGUUGUAAAGUUAAACCUGUAAUGCUUAGAAAUACUGCACCGAGAAGAUUCCAAGCAGUCUUUCCAUUUCUUGAAACAAAUUUCACUAUGUAGUGUGGAGAAAUGGCUUUAAGAACGGAUGGAUAGUACUCCAAAAUAUUGUAGAUACCGACUGAAACAUUGGUAGCAAACCACAAUAACAUUACGGGUGUGAAGCAGAAGCUAACUUUGCUUGUUCCACAGCGUUGAAAAGUGAAAAGUGCGAUUAACAUAAUCACAGACAUGAAAACCACAUGAUCUGCAGCCAAUAGAACUUUCAUUAAACCUCACGUUUUGGUGAGUAAAUGGAAGCAGAUCUGAACUAGCAAUAGAACUGUCUUUUGAAAAUUAUUUUGACUUUACCUUGUGUUAUCUUGGAAGAGAGAGAUUGAAUUCCUUGCAGGGCUGAGAGAACUGAUGUAACAAGUGUAUGGACAUGAGGCAACGUCGAAAGGAAAUAUAACUUGGAGAAAACAAAGGAAGAAUGUUACCGCAAGUAGCAGGAGUGAGAGCUCCAUCACCAAUGACCAUACAAGUUCCAAGUAAAACAACAAAAGUAAGAACAUUUUGAGCUGUGGAACUUUUCUCCAGGAACUUCUUAGUUUUUGAACGCCUAGAACUUCCACUCUCUUGGCUGUAAUAAGCCAUGCUCUCAUCAGAUUCCAUCCUAACGUUGUGGAUACUAAGUUUGCUUUGGAAAUUGAUAUGGCGACAGAGAUAUGAAUAGAGAGCAAAAGUACCGCCUUCUCCAUGAUCAUUAGCAUGGAGGACGAUGAAGACAUAUUUGACUAACACAAGCAACGUUAGAGUCCAAAAGAUUAGGCUGAAUGUCCCAAGUAAAUCAUCUUCAGUGAGAUUUGUCAAGCGAGUAGAGGAAAAUACAUUGACAGGAGAAGUGGCAAGGUCCCCAUAUACAACUCCAAGAGAUUGGUAAGCCAACAACAAGGUCUGCAUGGGUGGAUAUUCCUGAGAAAAAUACUCAAAAUCUCAAUAUCCUAUGAAGUGACUUAGAAGUUUCAAGGCAGUAACAAAAAAAAGUGUGAAGUUAUCAGAUUUUAUCGAAACUGGUAGUAGCACUAGCACACAUCGAGGGUAAAAUGAGAACAGGUUGCUUGUGAUGAUUUCAUCAUGUCCUAUGUCAACCUCCAGAUGCACCGGUCUGCAGGAACCAUGAUGACUUAAGGUGUUCAAAAGGAAGAGGUAGUUAUAACUUAAUCACAUGAAGGAAGUUAUCCCGAAAGACCUACACUCUCUUGAAAUCUAUGCAAACCUAGCAAAAGAUCGGGCACAAUGAAAGAAAAGGAUCUAUGUGGAUGAUACCAGUUAGUUGGUUUAAGCUUUAAUUAUGCUAAUAUGUUUACUUUCGAUCCCAAUGUUUGUUGGGAGUUUUUAGGUCUUGUUUGAGAUUUCAUGCGUGGGAAAUGCAGACAGCUUCUAGUGCUACAAAAACUAAUUCUUUAUUAUAUUUGAACUUAGACAAAGCUUAAUUGAGUGACAUGGACAAUGAGAAUUCAUAUAGCCGAGGAUUCACAUAGACGGUCUUAAAUAGAGGGACAGUGGAUAUUUCUUGGAAUAUUGAAGAUGAGAAAAAGUAAAGCUUACCUUAGCUUUGGUUAAGGGAGACUGGUAUGUCUGCAUAACUGUCAUGUAUGUUUCCAUAGCAGGUACUGGUUCUGGAACAACUCUCCUGCUGUUGUUACAAAGGUCAAUACGGUUACUAUCUUCAAGAUUGCUUCUACUUUCAAUAUCAUAGUUCUUUAUGCUGGAAUUGUUGCUUUUAACAUCUUCCAUGUUUUAAAUGCAGGACACUUCCAAUAUUCUAGUUAAGAAGUUGCCGUACAUUGUGUCAUGCUUAUAUAGCUUCAAAAAAGCCUCAAGGACUAUCGAUUUGCAAACAGGGAUAUCGAUUUGGUUGAUCCUAAGAAUAAAACAAAAGAUAUAAGUUAGUGCUGCAAAUUCUAAAAGCCACAAGUUGCUGGAGAGGGAGCAGGUAAAGGAACACAUCAUCAUAUAUAUAUUUUAGCAGUAAUUCCACCAAUUUGCAUACAAAUUUAUUUCAUCAUCCUGUUGGAGCACUUAUCGAUUCGCAAACAGGGAUAUGAAGAUAAAUUAUUGGUACAUUUUCUUGUUGACAUAUUAUAUUUUAUACCAAGGAGUGACUACACACUCUCACAAGUGACAUAUAACCAGAAAUUUUUAAAAAUCUGCCACUGUUGCUUUGUUGGAUGAACCUUAUCUAGUCUAGUCUAGUCUAGUUAAAUAAAUCAAGCUUAAAUUUUUGCAGUAAGUUGAUGACAAGUGAAAACUAGUAAAUCCUCUGAUUAAAAAGGUAAGCUUGAUUAAUGAACAAAAGCUCAUAUGCAAUUUUGCUGGCUUAUGAUUCUUUUGAUUAUGAAUUUUUUGUUUUAUUAUAGGUAUAUAUAUCAGUGUUGACACAUCUUGACCUAAGCUGGUCCAAUGUAAUGGUUAAGGUGUUGCACAACUUUCUUAAACUCGUGUGUUCAGUCCUAGCUAGCGACAUCAUUAUAUUUGCCUUUUUUUUACAUCUUUAAUAAAAA
rnacentral:lncRNA from 1 species